GCAUAUUCUGUGAGCAGGAAAGCGAGGGGAUCGCAAGACCUUGCGCUGAUUGAGCGGCCGAUAUCAGAUUAGCUAGUUGGUGAGGUAAAGGCUCACCAAGGCGACGAUCUGUAGCGGGUCUGAGAGGAUGAUCCGCCACACUGGAACUGAGACACGGUCCAGACUCCUACGGGAGGCAGCAGUGGGGAAUUUUGGACAAUGGGCGCAAGCCUGAUCCAGCCAUGCCGCGUGAGUGAAGAAGGCCUUCGGGUUGUAAAGCUCUUUCGGCCGGGAAGAAAUCGCACAGGUUAAUACCCUGUGUGGAUGACGGUACCGGAAUAAGAAGCACCGGCUAACUACGUG
rnacentral:rRNA from 1 species